CGCGUAGGCGGGAUGGCAAGUCGGUCGUGAAAUCCUUCGGCUCAACCGAAGAACGUCGGCCGAUACUGCCGUUCUUGAGGGAUGCAGAGGAGACUGGAAUUCCCGGUGUAGCGGUGAAAUGUGUAGAGAUCGGGAGGAACACCGGUGGCGAAGGCGGGUCUCUGGGCAUCUCCUGACGCCGAGGCGCGAAAGCGUGGGGAGCAAACGGGAUUAGAUACCCCGGUAGUCCACGCCAUAAACGAUGACGACUAGGUGGUGGGGUGGUUCAGUCCACUCCGUGCCGCAGCUAACGCAUUAAGUCGUCCGCCUGGGGAGUACGGCCGCAAGGUUGAA
rnacentral:rRNA from 1 species